GUGGGGAAUAUUGGACAAUGGGCGCAAGCCUGAUCCAGCCAUGCCGCGUGUGUGAAGAAGGCCUUUUGGUUGUAAAGCACUUUAAGCGAGGAGGAGGCUCCUUUAGUUAAUACCUAAAGUGAGUGGACGUUACUCGCAGAAUAAGCACCGGCUAACUCUGUGCCAGCAGCCGCGGUAAUACAGAGGGUGCGAGCGUUAAUCGGAUUUACUGGGCGUAAAGCGUGCGUAGGCGGCUUUUUAAGUCGGAUGUGAAAUCCCUGAGCUUAACUUAGGAAUUGCAUUCGAUACUGGAAAGCUAGAGUAUGGGAGAGGAUGGUAGAAUUCCAGGUGUAGCGGUGAAAUGCGUAGAGAUCUGGAGGAAUACCGAUGGCGAAGGCAGCCAUCUGGCCUAAUACUGACGCUGAGGUACGAAAGCAUGGGGAGCAAACAGGAUUAGAUACCCCGGUAGUCC
rnacentral:rRNA from 1 species